GAUGAACGCUGGCGGCAUGCCUAACACAUGCAAGUCGAACGAUGCUUUCGGGCAUAGUGGCGCACGGGUGCGUAACGCGUGGGAAUCUGCCCUUAGGUUCGGAAUAACAGUUGGAAACGACUGCUAAUACCGGAUGAUGACGUAAGUCCAAAGAUUUAUCGCCUGAGGAUGAGCCCGCGUAGGAUUAGGUAGUUGGUGUGGUAAAGGCGCACCAAGCCGACGAUCCUUAGCUGGUCUGAGAGGAUGAUCAGCCACACUGGGACUGAGACACGGCCCAGACUCCUACGGGAGGCAGCAGUGGGGAACAUUGGAAAAUGGGCGAAAGCCUGAUCCAGCAAUGCCGCGUGAGUGAUGAAGGCCUUAGGGUUGUAAAGCUCUUUUACCCGGGAUGAUAAUGACAGUACCGGGAGAAUAAGCUCCGGCUAACUCCGUGCCAGCCGCCGCGGUAA
rnacentral:rRNA from 1 species